rnacentral:rRNA from 1 species
AACGAACGCUGGCGGCGUGGAUUAGGCAUGCAAGUCGAGCGAGAAAGGGGUAGCAAUAUCCUGAGUAAAGCGGCGAACUGGUGAGUAACAGGUGGGCAAUGUUCCCUGAAGUUGGGGAUAACUCCGAGAAAUCGGAGCUAAUACCGAAUGUGGCCAUCGGGAUUUCGGUCCGGAUGGUUAAAGACGCAAUUCGCUUUAGGAUCGGCCCGCCCCGGAUUAGCUUGUUGGUGAGGUAACGGCUCACCAAGGCGACGAUCCGUAGCUGGUCUGAGAGGAUGGUCAGCCACACUGGAACUGAGAUACGGUCCAGACUCCGUACGGGGGGCAGCAGUCUAGAGGCUUCGGCAAGUGGGGGAAACCCUGACCGAGCGACGCCGCGUGUGGGAUU